GGGGGAUGCAAGCGUUAUCCGGAAUCAUUGGGCGUAAAGCGCCUGUAGGUUGUUUAAUAAGUCUGUUGUUAAAGACUAGGGCUUAACCCUAGGAAAGCAAUGGAAACUACUAGACUAGAGUAUGGUAGGGGUAGAGGGAAUUUCUAGUGUAGCGGUGAAAUGCGUAGAUAUUAGAAAGAACACCGGUGGCGAAGGCGCUCUACUGGACCAUUACUGACACUCAGAGGCGAAAGCUAGGGUAGCAAAAGGGAUUAGAUACCCCUGUAGUCCUAGCCGUAAACGAUGGAUACUAGAUGUUGCGUUUUUAUGCAGUAUCCUAGCUAACGCGUUAAGUAUCCCGCCUGGGGAGUACGCUCGCAAGGGUGAAACUCAAAGGAAUUGACGGGGGCCCGCACAAGCGGUGGAGCAUGUGGUUUAAUUCGAUGCAACGCGAAGAACCUUACCAAGGCUUGACAUACUACAGAUCUCUUUGAGAAAGGAGAGUGCCUUCGGGAAUGUAGAUACAGGUGGUGCAUGGCUGUCGUCAGCUCGUGUCGUGAGAUGUUGGGUUAAGUCCCGCAACGAGCGCAACCCUUAUUUUUAGUUACCAAUUUUUUGGGUUUUCUAGAGAGACUGCCGGUGACAAACCGGAGGAAGGUGAGGAUGACGUCAAGUCAGCAUGCCCCUUAUGCCUUGGGCUACACACGUGCUACAAUGGCUAAGACAAAGAGUUGCGAACUUGCGAAAGUCAGCUAAUCUCAUAACUA
rnacentral:rRNA from 1 species